rnacentral:sRNA from 1 species
AUUUUAGCACUGCUGAAUAACUGCAAUGAGCAGGUACUACAGUGGAGGUGUCAGUUCAGGCUUUCCCAUAUUACCCCAUCAGUGUGUCUUGACUCUGCCCUGGAGGGCACCUGACUAGAUUUGAUGGUUCCAACUCUAUGCCCAUGCAAUCCUUGGCUUCA